UUCCCUUCCGAGUCUUGGGCAAAUCCACAAUGAAGUUCAUGGAGAUGUCUUUGCACUUCCAAAUUGGUAUCUCAAGUAGUUCAAGCAACCCUGCUGGUCUCUUGUGCUCAGUCUUUACUUGCUUGCAAGUGUCACAACAUGCGACAUGGUUGGCUAUGUCAACCUUCAUAUCUUUCCACCAGAACCUCUCCUUCAAAUCCUAAUACAUCUUGUGCAUCUUGGGUGAAUAGAGUAUCUCGAGUCGUG
rnacentral:lncRNA from 1 species